UUGUUUUUGCCUGUCAUGGAGCUCCGUUCAUUCUGAACAUGUCACCGGGGACUUUGGAAUGUGUAUCCGUAACUCCCUGAUUUUCAAACACAUUCCAGCCUGCCUGACUCAUGAAGCGUGGAGCGACCCAGGAACAUCCCAGCUCGUCAUGUCCCACAUUCUUCAGGCUUUCUCUUAGUUUUGGCAUGUGCAUGUAAAUGUCAACAGUGCCCAGAUCAGCACCUGAUGUAUACUUGGCACACAAUAACUACUCUUGAAAUUCAUGAAGGAAUCUGGACAUUUAGGGGGUUCCUCAGAAUCCGCCGCUUUUAGGGAAGAUUCUCUGCCUGAUGUGUGAGCACUCUAACCUCUUCAUCUGUGCUCAGUCCCCUUGCAAUGCUUCUCUAAGAUCAAUAAAGGCAAAAACCAGGAGAUCCCAUAAAUCCCGCUGAGCCUGUCAUAGCUAUCAAAUUAAACCCAGAUAAAGCUUCUGGUGGCUAAUGACAUGGCCAUCACCCAGCGUGGACGUGGGCAGGAGGGGCUCUCCGGGGGCAUCUGGUCUGCUGUGGAGACACUUGUCAUCUGGGGGCUCAGUGGCUCUAAUGGAGGUGUCACUCUCCGAUCUCUCAGCUGGUUGGGAAAAAUCUGUAUCAGUCAUUACCCUUGCUCAAGCCCAGACUGGGUCAUCUGGCCACAGCAGGAGAUGCAGCGGGGGAACAGCAGCAGGAGAUGCAGGGGGGGAACAGCAGCAGGCAUGGAGCUGAGACAAGAUUUCACUGUGCAGACAGUUUCCGGGAAGAGGCUGGGUCUGAAGCUGCAUCUCCAUGUCCCAGGAGUACCUUUCAAAGCUUCCCCUGUCCUGGCCUCAAGCUCUAGGAGCUUUGAAAAAAUGCUUGCAUUUUGGGCUGGGCGGGGUGGCUCACGCCUGUAAUCCCUGCAUUUUGGGAGGCUGAGGCGGACAGAUCACUUGAGGUCAGGAGUUUGAGACCAGCCUAGCCAAUAUGGCGAAACCCUAUCUCUACUAAAAAUACAAAAAUUAGCCUGGUGGUGGUGGCUCAGUACCCGUAAUCCCAGCUACUUGGGAGGCUGAGGCAGGAGAAUCGCUUGAGCCUGGGAGGCAGAGGUUGCAGUGAGCUGAGAUCACGCCACUGGACUCCAGCGUGGGUGACAGAGUGAUAGGCUGUCUCAGAAAAAGAAAAAUACUCGAAAAUAUGCUUGCAUUUUGAAUAUAUAUCUAUAUCUAUCUAUCUAUAUAUUUUAUAUCUGUAAAAGAAAAAAUAUUCAGGACUCUCUAAAUUUAUUAUGCCAUGUGGGGAGUUAAGCCCUGGAAACUCACAUAGCAUGUAUGCAACUUCUGCUCUUAGGUUAUAGUUUAACUCUCUUCCUCUUUGCUCUUGUUCUGUAAAUGACUGGGAGAGACCAGACACCAAACCUCCUCCCCUUCCAAUCACUGAUCUUUGUUGCAGAGGAACCGCCUCCUUUAUUGUCCCGUGCCUAAUUUAGACCAGAUGGCACAAAAGACCCCGUGACUAUUACGUCUUUAGUGUGGAAGGUUAAAUAUACCUUUCCCAAAAGGAAAAAGACUACCUCAACCAACCAGAUAUUGUAAUUAUGCAUUAAACCUUAUAUAGAAAGACGUUGAGAUUCUGUUACGCUUCCCCAAGCUUUGUCUAUAUAAACAAUCACAAACUUCUACACUUUGGAGCACUGACUUCCAUUCUUUGGAAUCUGUGCUUCCCAGGCAGCUCAUCUUCAAACUUUGUGCCUGAAUAAACUCCCUUUAAACCA